rnacentral:rRNA from 1 species
CCUACGGGGGGCAGCAGUAGGGAAUCUUCCGCAAUGGACGAAAGUCUGACGGAGCAACGCCGCGUGAGUGAUGAAGGCUUUCGGGUCGUAAAGCUCUGUUGCCAGGGAAGAACGCUUGGGAGAGUAACUGCUCUCAAGGUGACGGUACCUGAGAAGAAAGCCCCGGCUAACUACGUGCCAGCAGCCGCGGUAAUACGUAGGGGGCAAGCGUUGUCCGGAAUUAUUGGGCGUAAAGCGCGCGCAGGCGGCUUUGUAAGUCUGUCGUUUAAGUUCGGGGCUCAACCCCGUAUCGCGAUGGAAACUGCAAGGCUUGAGUGCAGAAGAGGAAAGUGGAAUUCCACGUGUAGCGGUGAAAUGCGUAGAGAUGUGGAGGAACACCAGUGGCGAAGGCGACUUUCUGGGCUGUAACUGACGCUGAGGCGCGAAAGCGUGGGGAGCA